CUCUUUCAAAUACUUUAACCUGGACCCGAAAUUUGAAGAAGAAGCAUGUGUCUGUGAAGAGCGUAGACUAAAUCAAAGUUGGAAGACUGAUAUUAGAAUCAUUUAAGGGAGAGCAAUGGCCCCAAGACCUGACGAAAAAAAGAAAGAGGGUGACUAAAGCAGCUACAUCAAAUGUUUGUACAUCAAGAGCAACAAUAGCAAGUCAGCCUAUUGAGGGUAUGAGCAGACGGAUAUGGGAGAAAGAAACAGCAAUACGCCAUUUCCAACCAAUGAGGGUGGAUGCACAAGUGAAAUAAAUCUAAUACCCCCACCAGUAACACAAGAAAGCAACAUUAGUUUGAGCUGAUUGUUGAAGCAGCUUUGAUGUUUUCUGUUCAGCUCAUAGUUUAGUUCAAGAACUAUAUUUUGUCUUUAUUUUUGAGCUUUGCUUAACCUAUAUUUUUAGUUUGUAAUAAGAGCAGGUUUAUAUGGGAAUUUAUACUGUCGGUGCCCAUUUUUUUGUGAUUCGAAAGUACAACAUAAAAAGUGCAACUUUGGUUCACUUUUGAAUCAUUAUAGAAUCAUAUUUUUGCAAAUAUUGUAAAUAACUGAAGGUUGCAAUGUUAAAUGAAAUGCUUAGUCCAUAACAAUUUAUUUA